rnacentral:lncRNA from 1 species
UCCUUCAUAGUAGAGCUUUGAUAUUGACUACAAGCAUGCAACUCAGAAAUUCACAAAUUUAAAUAACUCAGUAUUCUUAAACACAGAACUACUACCACUACUACUACAGAAGUAAGCAAUCAUCAUAUUUUCCAUAAAGGUAGGGGUAUAGAAAAUAGAUUUUAGAAUGAAUUUUUUAUCAAAUCAGUACAUUAAUCCAAUAAAUCCAUUAACAUAAAGUAAAGAACAUAAUGAAGGCAAAUAAAAGGCGCAAUUAAAUGAAAGGAAGAGAUAAAUAAAAAUGAACUUAGUGCAAGUAAAAGGCGCAGAAGGACAAUAAUGAAGCUCCAACCAAGGAACCAAAAACAGGGAUGGUUGUGCUUGAUCCACUAGAGGGUCCAGGAGCUGCUUCUGGUGCUUCAAGGGCUGUGGACAAAGCCACAGACAUUGAGGCCACAACCACAAAUAUAGCACAAGAGAUUCUCAUCAUUUCCAUUAUCUUUUCCUAUGGUGGUGGAUUAGAAUGUAAGAUUAUUUAUCCUCUGCAAUAUGUAAUUCUGUGGAAUAAGAUGUUAUGUAGAGGCUAAUAUAUAUAGAGUGAGUGUGAA